rnacentral:rRNA from 1 species
GACGAACGCUGGCGGCGUGCUUAACACAUGCAAGUCGAACGGAAAGGCCCUGCUUUUGUGGGGUGCUCGAGUGGCGAACGGGUGAGUAACACGUGAGUAACCUGCCCUUGACUUUGGGAUAACUUCAGGAAACUGGGGCUAAUACCGGAUAGGAGCUCCUGCUGCAUGGUGGGGGUUGGAAAGUUUCGGCGGUUGGGGAUGGACUCGCGGCUUAUCAGCUUGUUGGUGGGGUAGUGGCUUACCAAGGCUUUGACGGGUAGCCGGCCUGAGAGGGUGACCGGCCACAUUAGGACUGAGAUACGGCCCAGACUCCUACGGGAGGCAGCAGUGGGGAAUAUUGCACAAUGGGCGGAAGCCUGAUGCAGCAACGCCGCGUGCGGGAUGACGGCCUUCGGGUUGUAAACCGCUUUCGCCUGUGACGAAGCGUGAGUGACGGUAAUGGGUAAAGAAGCACCGGCGAACUACGU